rnacentral:snoRNA from 1 species
ACAAAUGAUGAAGAAGAACUCGUCGCCUACAUGAUCGCCGGACUCGACUCUGAUUAUGAGCCGGUAGUAUUAGCCCUUGCUGCACAGAAGGAACCUGUCACCGUAGGAGAACUCUACGGGCAGCUGCUAGGGUUCGA